GAUGAACGCUAGCGGCAGGCCUAAUACAUGCAAGUCGAACGCUCAGUAGCAAUACUGGGAGUGGCGCACGGGUGCGUAACGCGUACACAAUCUACCUCUAAGCGGGGACACCUCCUGGAACGGGGAUUAAUACCGCAUAAUAUGCCGAGGUCGCAUGACUUUGGUAUUAAAGCAGCAAUGCACUUAGAGAUGAGUGUGCGUCCCAUUAGGUAGUUGGUGAGGUAACGGCUCACCAAGCCUAUGAUGGGUAGCCGGUCUGAGAGGAUGGGUCGGCCACACGGGCACUGAGACACGGGCCCGACUCCUACGGGAGGCAGCAGUAAGGAAUAUUGGUCAAUGGUGGAAACACUGAACCAGCCAUGCCGCGUGGAGGAAUAAGGUCCUACGGAUU
rnacentral:rRNA from 1 species